GUUGCGACAUCGUCUGUCUCGUCUUCUGUGUGCUACGUCGCGUCUGUCAGCAAUAUGUAAUAACCUGCCCGGUCUUUGUUACAAUAUUGAAAACGCCACUGUUUCUUAUGAAGACUCCGUAAGUCAUAGCAAGAUACCUGAGGAAGAAGAAAUUGCUCGCUGUCAUUCGUUCGUGUACGGAG